AAAUGGAGACUGUGCUUAGGGCCGCGACAAUACUGCUUGCCUUACCCACCUGAAGGGUAGUUCAGACUUGCACGCAAGCGAUAAGCCACAGUUCUGCUUACAAGACGCAAGACAUUCCCAUCGCUGGUAUUGAUGCUAAGAAAACAUGAAUUAUCCUGAGCGCAGGAAGGGUGCUGCAUAGCCUACAGCAACCACUGCACUGAAUAAACUGGAAUGCCCCACAGGUGGAUUUCUUCCUUUUUCAGAGCCUUAAAAUGGACACCUUUAAGCACGUGCCAGCCAAUGACAUCAUGUACUUCACCGCUCGUGGUGGCUGUGGUGAUAGUCUGCUCCUUUGCUAGUGAGAAGUUGCUUGGAUAAGGAAACUACUCUUAGGUACAUCCAUGAACAGACAAAAGGAAGAAGAGAUUAUCAGAAAUAUUAAGGCUGCAUUACUGCGACUCAGGAAUACAUUGUCCUGCAGAGGACGAACGCUUGUAUCUGCCUAAACAAACACAGGUCAAGCACUGAUGCAAAACAGCUGCAGCAGUAGCUUAUGAUAAAAGUAUAAUCUCCGAGUUACUCUUAGGUACGAGGGUGCCGCUCCUGUGCUAAAUUGCCAGCAGGAUUAUGACUGUUUAGAUGCCCAAGACACUCCCAGAGUGACAGACGGUUGGGUAUUUUUUUCAAUACAAAAAGGGGCAAAGCUGCAAAUGAAGGGUUAAUGCGUCUGUGAACUUCCAGGUGUACUUGCAGUCUACUUCUCUGAUGUGGAUAGCUGUCGAGUCUGCUUUACAACUGCUUUCCUUUUGUUCAGGUCUAACUUUAAAAAUGAGGUAAGCACCAAACCACUCUGCUGAGCUCACUAUGAAGAGGAGGUUUAAUUCCUUGAUGAAAUCUGUCGCACGAUAAUAAACUCACUUAGGAUACCUGAAUAUUCAUUCAAAAUGAAUACAUGAUUAAAGAAUUUUUCUAAAUUAUGCCGUUACUUUUCUACCAGUAACUUACCAGAUCGUUCAAAUUUAUAUUAAAUUUUCUGAUUCCAUGUUCAUUAAAAGAAAAAUAAUUUCAAUGCAGAUAAUUCAACUAUUUAAAUAACAAAGCCUAUGUGAAAUUUGAAUUAACUGUACAUGUGUAUCAGUUAUUUCCAAAUAAUUAAGGGUUCACAGAAAGCAAUGACAGUCCUAAAUACAACAGCAAAAUGUUAACCAGUAAAAACCUUAAAGAAGUAACUGUUAUAGAUACUACUUAAAGAAGUAACAUAGGCUCAUUUUCAUUACCAUGAAGUCCAGCAUGGCAAUUGUUACUGUCAGCACAAUCAAAAAAAAUGUCAUUUUACAGUACCAGUAGUUCCACGCAAAUGAUCCAUCAAUGACAUUUCAAACAAUAGCUCACUACUCCCUUUCACAACUGAGUACCAAAUAAUAAAACAUAGUUAUCUCAGUGCAGCAGAUAUUUUUUUUCAUUUCAAUUUUAAAGAAGAAAAACAGUCAAGAUAGAGUUUAAAGAUAAAUUCUUACAAAUAGUAUGCGAGAACUGCAGUAUCACUAAACAAAACUGCUAUCUUACUUUGCAGGAUGCACCAAAGGUAGGAACAAGACCCAGACUUUCUGCAUGUGUGAAACCCAACAUAAGGGUCUUGAGGCUUGCAGAGACAAGCCUGAACUUGCCACUGAUGUGUGGUUGCCACGAUAAGGAUUACUGCCAACCCUCAAAACACAGUGAACAAAAGUUAACAUGACUCUUUAAUGCCUUAAAUGUUCAACAUUUAGUUUCCACUUUUUGUACUGCAACACUUCAAUAAAUCUACCACUUGUCACAAUUUUGCAAUUCAUAAUUACCAAAAAUUUUCAAUUUUCUCAUAAAGUUGAACUAUCUUGUCAACAAGGUAUUCUCUACAAAUUUAAUUUGUUUGUCUGAAACUGCUUGCUAAUUAACAUGUAGUUAAUUGAUGAAAUCUUUACUCAAAGAUAUUAACCAAUAAUUUAGCAAUAGAAAGACUCUAAGUCCCUUUUGCACCUCAUGAACUGUCCAAUCUACCCUAGAAAGUGGGGAUUUUACAGAAGGGAAAAGAAAACGCUGUGAUUUUUCAGACUGACCUACUUACUCUCUCAGCUGCCCAACUGUGCUAAAGAAGUAAAGUCCUGACUGACUGGAAAUAAAGUACAGCACUAACUGUCCUCUGAACUCAGUGGAACACAAACAGUUAUUUCAUACUACUUGAGAGAGCUAUUCUGUAGUGGAAAAAAAAUAAAAAAGAUGAAAAUUAUACUGUGUAUCAGGGUUGCAAGGAAUGUACUUGUUUAGGAAAGACUGCUCUUUCACAAUACAGUGGAAUUUGCAGCCUGUUGGAAAAAAGCAUCUUCUACAUAAGACACAGCGUUCAGUACAGCACUCCUGCCGUACCACACCCUGCUUGAUCUUUGUGCAAAGAAAGAUGUGAAGGUCAGGGUCCAAUAAUGUUGCCAGUAACUUUUCCAAAAGGCAGCUGCUGGCAACCCCUUGCAAAUUGGUGCAGCCUAGAAAGAAAGGCUAAUCUGUAUUGAAGAAAGUUAGUGCCAGAUAAUUCAAUAUUGUGACAGCCUACUAGGUCCUACCCGCAAAAGCAGCCAAUUAAGGAAA